rnacentral:rRNA from 1 species
GAAUAAGAGGUCCCGCCUGCCCUGUGACUAUAUGUUUAACGGCCGCGGUAUUUUGACCGUGCGAAGGUAGCGCAAUCACUUGUCUUUUAAAUGGAGACCUGUAUGAAUGGCAUAACGAGGGCUCAACUGUCUCCUUUUUCCGGUCAAUGAAAUUGAUCUCCCCGUGCAGAAGCGGGGAUACAGACAUAAGACGAGAAGACCCUAUGGAGCUUUAGACACCAAGGCAGAUUAUGUUAAGAAUACCUGACAAGGGGUCAAACAAAAUAACCCCUGCCCUAAUGUCUUUGGUUGGGGCGACCGCGGGGAAACAUAUAACCCCCAUGUGGAAUGGGAAUACCCCUCCUAUAACCAAGAGCUCCCGCUCUAAGUGCCAGAAUUUCUGACCAACCAGAUCCGGCUUUCACGCCGAUCAACGAACCGAGUUACCCUAGGGAUAACAGCGCAAUCCCCUUUUAGAGUCCAUAUCGACAAGGGGGUUUACGACCUCGAUGUUGGAUCAGGACAUCCUAAUGGUGCAGCCGCUAUUAAGGGUUCGUUUGUUCAACGAUUAAAGUCCU